GUGGGGAAGGAGGGCGGAGCCGACCUGGGGCGGGCGCUCAGCAAGCCCCUCACUUCCACUGCGGCCUUUCUUCCCGCGCUCCGCCUGUGCACCGUGGCAAAACGGAUAACUUUAGAACCUACUAUGUGCCAGGCCGGGUCGUCAUGGCUGUAGAUAGCACUAUUGUUAAUAAGGGCUGAGUACUGUUCCAAGGGCUGCGAACGCUUUAGCACAUUGACGUUUACAACCUCUCCAUGAUUAUCCAUAUUUUACUUAUGAGGAAACAGACGUAGAGAAACUAAGCAAUAGGAAGUGGUGUUUCCAGGGAUGACUAAGAAGUCAACAGCCUCAAAGAGCUGUUAGUUAUGAGAAAUUAGUAAACGCUGACUCUACCAGGUCCUCAAGUAGGCAUUCCUUCCUUCAUUACGUGCUUGAGGAAAUGAAGGCUCAGACACCCAGAGUCCUUUAUACAGGGUCCCUCUGCUAGGAAGGAGCCAGACUGUCACUGUAAGUUUCCACGGUCCAGUCUCCUCGCCAGAAGUCAACCCGGAGGCUAGGUCGGAGCCACUGGGUGAAGAGUGCAGGAUUCCAGAGAGCAGGGAAACACACCCUUUAGGAGAAUUCAAGUAGUUUACAGGAGCAGAAAGAUGAACGAGCAGACCUGUGAAUGUCAGCCUGCUGACAGUUGGGAGUCAUCGUGUAUUUGUAAAUGAGGAGGAAGAAGGCAGAUCAAAGUCCUCCAGCCCCACCCCUCAGCUGUGUGGUGUUGGGCACCUGCCAGGUGCUUCAUUGACC
rnacentral:lncRNA from 1 species